UUACAUCACGUCCUUAUCUCAUAGAUAAGGCCAGCUCGAGCUUCUCGGUCCAUUCGACUGAUUUCGACCCUUCCGAUGAAUUUUCGUCCCGCGAUCAAUCCCGAAUAUUUUUCUACGCCCGUUCUGAUGAGAUGAAUAUUUUUAAUAAACUCCAAGUGAAUCCUGACCUUGAUGGAAAAUAUUUCUCGAGCCUCCGGCUUCCUCGAAAAAUCGAUAAUACCAAAAUUAGGGUUUUCGCCCAACUUCGGGUUUUCCCGUCGUGCUUCAAUCCCGUCGUGCUUGCUUCCCGUCCUGCUUAAUUCCCGUCCUGCUUCCGACUUAUAAUGUCUUCAGAAUAAUAUUUUACUGAUACGAAGAUAUUCUGAGAAAACUUCGCGAUGAAGAAACGUCAAUCUUCAAAAACGUCGAGCUUCUAAACCGUCGUGCUUCAAAAAUGUGAUUCUUCCAAAACUGCCGUCUGAUCAAUCUAACACUUUUCUAACCAUGGUCCAGCAGCUUAUGGUUCACCCAUGAUCAAUUCUUCGACCAUCCAUUGCCCGCGGUACGACCACUAAAUAAUAAUACCUUUUUUUUUUUUUUUUUUUUUUUUUAACGGGUUUCUACAUUCUCCCCCCGUUAACAGAAUUCGUCCUCGAAUUCUAAGGCUCUGAGGGGCCUCCUUCUUCCAUUACAACGUCCUCUCGGAAAAACUUCGGGUGAUCGGUUUUAAAUCUCGCUUCAUCCUCCCAAGUAACAUGAAUCCUGUUUUGUCUUCCCCAGAACACUUGUACUUGAGCAAUCUCACGAUUUUUGAGCUUCCGAAUACGCCGUUCUCCUAAUCUGAUUGGUCCUUCCGGAUACGUAAGGUUUGUCUCCAACUCCUCGAUUCUCUCGGGCUCAACAGUACUUGGAUCCCGUAUAUGUUUCCGAAGCAUGGAAACAUGGAAUACUGGAUGUAGAUGCAUAUCUGCUGGCAGAUCCAAUCGGUAAGCUACCUCACCAACUUUCCCGAUGAUCUUAUACGGACCAAUGAACCUGACCGCAAGUUUCCCGACCUGCCAAAUCUGUCCUUCCCUUUCUGUGCAGUAACCUUCAAAUAGACCCAAUCUCCUAUCUCAAAAGUUACUUCUCUUCUUGACUGGUCUGCGUACUUCUUCUGACGGUCUUGAGCCUUCUUCAUGUUGGCCUGAAUCGUCUCCAGUUUAAUCAUGGUCUCCUGAACAAUAGGUGACCCAAACAUUCUUCUUUCGCCCACUUCCGUCCAACACAUAGGCGUCUUGCAUGGCCUUCCGUAUAAUGCUUCAUAAGGUGACAUCCCUAUGCUCGAAUGAUGACUGUUGUUAUACGAGAACUCAACCAACGGUAAAUGCUUCUCCCAAGUUCCUGCCCAAUCGAGAAUACACAUACGCAGCAUGUCCUCGAUGGUCCGAAUGGUCCUUUCCGUUUGGCCAUCUGUUUCUGGAUGGAACGCCGUGCUUCUGUACAGUUUAGUUCCCAAGGCUUCUUGUAGUGCUUCCCAGAAUGAUGCCGUGAACCUUGGAUCGCGAUCUGAGACGAUGUCUGAGGGUACACCAUGUAACUUCACGAUUUGGUCGAUGUACAGCUCGGCCAAAACUUCAACUUUAUCAGUGUCCCGCAUAGGCAACAAGUGUGUGACCUUGGUUAACCUAUCCACAAUCACCCAUAUCGAGUUGUUCGAUCUACCUGGAGCAGUAGGUAAUCCGGUGAUGAAAUCCAUGGAAAUAGAGUCCCAUUUCCAUUGAGGUAUCGGAAGACUCUGCAACAAUCCCCCUGGAACUUGAUGUUCCACCUUGACUUGUUGACAAGUUGCACACUGAGCAACCCAUUGUGCUACUGAUCUCUUCAUGCCCGGCCAAUGAUAGUAUCUUCUCACGUCUCGGUACAUCUUCGAACUUCCAGGAUGGAUACUGAGUAAAGAAUGAUGUGCAAUCCUUAGUAUCUCAUCUCUCAGCCCUUGUCCUUUAGGAACCGUGAUCCUCCCAUUAAUUAGCAAGGUUCCGUCCUCCGCCAAGUAGUAUCCCGCAUUAUUUGGCCCGGCUUGUCCUUUGAGUUCUUCAGCAAUCUUCAGUAACUUCUCAUCCUUAAGUUGUUCUUCUCGAAUUCUCUGAAUCAAGCUGGCCUGAUUCACCGCUUGAAGUCCCAAUGGCUCGCUUGUCUGCCCUUCCAAAACGACCAACUUCACUUGUUUCAACUCCUGGUUCAAUAGCUCCACUUCUUUCUCUAAAUCUGCGUCCAACUUUCUUCGACUUAAGGCGUCCGCAACAACAUUCGCUUUACCAGGAUGGUAGCGAAUCCGUAUGUCGUAGUCUGCCACAAACUCCAUCCACCUACGCUGGCGCAGGUUGAGAUCUGGCUGAGUGAAGAGGUAUUUAAGACUUUGAUGGUCCGUGUAUACCUCCACUUCUUCUCCAUACAAGUAAGAUCUCCAAAUUCGCAAAGCGAACACCACGGCCGCUAACUCCAAGUCAUGUGUACUGUAGUUAUCCUCAUGCUUCCGUAGUUGUCGCGAAGCAUAUGCAAUGACUCGCCCAUCUUGCAUAAGAACACAACCUAACCCAACGCGUGAAGCAUCCGUGUAAACCGUGUAAGGUUUACCUUGCUCGGGCAAAGCUAACACAGGUGCGGUCGUGAGAGCUUCCUUCAACUUCUUGAAUGCCCUCUCGGUUUCUUCCACCCAUAAGAAAGGAACUCCUUUACCGGUAAGUUUAGUUAAAGGCUUUGCAAUGGAGGAAAAGUCCUUAACAAACUUCCGAUAAUAGCCCGCAAGUCCGAGAAAACUCCUCACUUCUGUCACAGUGGUAGGUCGAGGCCAUUCUCGUAUGGCUUGGACCUUUUCUGGAUCAGCAGCCACGCCCUCUCCUGAUACUAUGUGACCCAGAAAUCCUAUCUCUCUCUUCCAAAACGAGCACUUGCUGGACUUGGCAAAUAGCUUCUGAUUCCGUAACCUCUCCAUAACCAGUCUCAGAUGCUCUUUGUGCUCUUCCUUACUUUUCGAGUACACCAGGAUGUCAUCAAUGAAAAUGAUCACGAACUUGUCGAGAUAGUCGUGAAACACUUCAUUCAUCAAACGCAUGAAAGCCGCAGGCGCGUUUGUGAGACCAAAGGGCAUAACUACAAACUCGUACUGCCCAUACCUCGUCCGAAACGCCGUCUUCAUAAUGUCUGACUUGGCAAUAGGAAUUUGGUGAUACCCUGAUGCCAAAUCAAUCUUCGAAAACCAACUAGCUCCCUUUAGUUGGUCUAACAACUCGUCUAUCCUCGGAAGAGGAUACUUAUCUUUUAUCGUGAUGUUGUUGAUACCACGAUAAUCGAUACACAACCUCAUGCUUCCAUCCUUCUUCUUCACAAAUAACACAGGAGCUCCCCAAGGUGAAGAGCUCGACCGGAUGAAUCCCUUUUCCAAUAGAUCUUCCAAUUGUUUCUUUAGCUCGGCUAAUUCCGCAGGUGCCAUCCGAUAUGGUGCCUUAGCUAUAGGUUUUGCUUCAGGCUCCAAAGUAAUGGUAAAGGGAUUACUCCGAGGUGGAGGUAAUUCCUUUAGUGGUGCAAAGAUAUCCUCAAAAUCUUGGACCACUUCUAUGUCUUCGACCUUAACUUCAUCAUUAGUGGCUCCUCCACUAACCGAUAAGGUCACCAAAUAUACAUCCCCGUCUUGAAACAAAUCUUGUACUCUCAUCGCUGCUACUAAAGACACGGUCAUACUAGGACUGAUUCCAUAGUAUACCAUCUCUGGUCGUUUACCUCUGCCGAACAACAACCUUCCCUUUCCACAGUCGAUCUGAACUCCGUAGCUCGAUAACCAAUCCAUUCCAAGGAUUACCUCGUACCCUUUUAAAGGCACGACUAACAGAUCUGCCACAAACUCUUUGCCUUGAAUGACCAAUGGAACAUUCUUGAUACACUGAUUUGCUUGAAGGGUUCGGUCUGCGGGGGUCAAAACGGCCACGUCUAUCCUGUCAACCACAAAACAAUCCCAAAACCGGGCAGCUACUUCAGGGGUCACAAAACUAUGUGUUGCCCCCGAGUCGAACAAUACAUGUGUGGGUUUACCAGCAACAUGUAUGGUUCCUGCCACAGUAAUCCAAUCAACAAUAUCUUAAUCACAAAAAUACUAAUCAAAAUUCUCACAACCAUCAAUCAUCAUCCUAAAUUUCUAAACGCGCAACCUAGCGAUCAAGCAAUCUAUACCUAACCAGCAUACUAACUAGAUUCCAGCAACUAAAUUUCCAUUCAAUAAAAAGAGGAGGUUAAGCACCCACAAUACCUGUGAUGGGACCGCUUGACGGUCCUGCAUUGUCUGGGUUUUCUACACCUAAGGCAUAAACUCUACUUCCUAGGUUUUGCUUCUUUGGUGCUGGCUCAAUAGCUGGACGGCUAGGAGGAGCUCGGAUUGCGAGAGGGGUCGCAGGGAUUGGCUUGUUUGGACAUGACGAUGCAUAAUGGCCCUUCAUACCGCAAGAGAAACAAGUAACAUCUUCCAUCCUUAUAGAUGAAUAACCCUGCUGGUUACUCCGUUGUCUGUUGGGACAAAACUUAGAAAUAUGUCCCGGUUGAUCACAUAUGUAACACACCACAGUGUUACCACGAUUGUUGGCUUGGCCUCCAAAUCCUCGCCCUUUUCCUUUGUAAGAUCUUGGACCCUUGUUGAAAUUUGGCCUUUCUCCUUGGCUAAACUUGGUGUGUCCACCAGAAUGUGGUAAGGUCUUCCUUUCAGCCUCCAAUACAGUUUCAACAUUAACAGCUUUUUCCACUAGCUCAGAUAAGCUGCUAAAGUUGCUUCCAGCUAAACGACUUCCAAGCUCCGGCUUCAAUCCGUACAUAAAGUUACGGAUCAUAGUUGCUUCAUCUUCAUGCCCAUCAAAGACAUGUCGCCUCAACCUUGUGAACUCAGAUUCGUAACUCCUCACUGGCCGAUCUCCUUGAACAAGGUUCAUGAACUGGCGCUCCAAUCGAUGCUUUGCUUCUGGAGGAAAGUAUUUCCUCUCAAACUCUCCCUUGAACGACUCCCAUGAUGUGAUGUUGUGUCCACGCUGUCUGUCUAUGCUGUCCCACCAUCCUGUGGCGUCGCCUUCCAAGUAGUACACAGCGAUCUUCUUCUUAUACUCCUCCGGGCACUCCAUGGCUUCAAAAUUCUUCUCCAUCAUAGUAAUCCACUUGUCGGCCUCAAUAGGAUCGGAUCCUCCUUUGAACUUGUAGGAUCCAAUGUUCUUCAUGGUAGAUAAUAGCUUGGAAACUUCAGGGGGUUGAGUACGCCUGCCUUGGUUACCAAGUGCCUCGGUCAUCACGUCAUGUAAAAGCUUCAAGGUGUUUUCGGUUCCAUGAUCUUGUGGUCUUUCGGUGGCAUGGUUCUGAUCUGGCCUUGGGUUUGAUUGAGCGGAUUGAUCAUGUUGAUGUCUCUGGUCCCAAUUACGACUUGGGCCAAUACUCGCCAUACUGUCUUCUCUCACUCUAGUCAUGUUACCGUAAACAGGAAAAGAUCUUGUUCUCUGCAGAGGGCUCCUAUCGUGUCCAAACAUCUCACUGAUGCCAUUUCCAUUAUCCUGAUCUGAUCUGUGACCCAAUCCUCCGCCUGUCCAAUCCAUACCCUCUCCCCAUAUCCGACCUCGUCCAUCAUCACCUGUCCCGCGAUUAGCCAUCUGCACACAAUAAAAAGGGUAAGUCAUAUUCCUACCACGGGAAGCGGCUGGUUUCCUAAUCAUCUUUUUGCGACUCCUUUGACUCGAUAAAACCGUUAAAAAAAGCACUUGUGUCACGCAUGGACGAAACCAUGCUCUGAUACCACCUCUGUAACACCCCCGAACCGUUCUAGGCAUAGGUCAAACCACCGGCCAACAAUCAAACAAGAACAUGACCGACGGCCCGACCGUCUACCAAGGCUCAGGAGCGCUACAAGACGGGUUAACGGGCAAUCCAGCCAAAGUUACAAAAAGUGCAAUUUGGCCAGGCCGCCCACUAACACGUCCCGUCAGACCAAAGCCUAAGGCUUCUCAACCCGUACUCCAAUCUGACGUUGUGUUAGCUCGGACAAGCUAAUAUCAGAACAACAAGGCAGUUUCACAAAACAUUCGCUUUAUUUAUCUUAUAUAAUAUCUGGUUUACAAUACACAAAAUAUUAUACAAGUGGUGGCAUGCCAAGAAAGCGAAAGUACAUACUUAUAGUCUGAAAGCGUCUUAAGCAAAAAGAUGCAAAUCUACACCAGCCAGCCUAGCCUCCCGCGCUUUCUACGAGCUCACUACUGGUCACCUGAAAACAACAACGAGUGAGGAGUGAGUAAUCUAGCAUUACUCAGCGAGUUACAAUCCCCCACUAACAAAUACAACCCCUCGCUAUCCCACCCCAAACAAUCUAAAGCGAGAGGUUCACCUAACAACACAAUUUAAUAACAAUAAGCAAUAUUCAAAAUACGCAGCGGUAAACCAUAGCAAGAUAACUAGCAUUACGCUAAUUACUAGCUUAUCACCAAACUCAAACUCGAUUUAAACCAGGGUUUAACAACCCAAAACACGAUAUAAUAUAUAUAACAAACUCGGGCCCUGGUGACGUUAGGUUCCUCCUUCACUAUCGGCAAUAUCCUAUCUCCCUACCACAAAGGCCGGAAGAAGGAACUUUCAACCGACCGCGGCCCACAGUCCUUCGGGUCACCGCGCGACAGCCCACAGUCCUUCGGGUCACUGUCCCAUUACACCGUCGUGUAAUACUCAGCCAUAGUACAUGACACCGUUCGUCUGAGUCUUCCCGAUCCAGCGAAUAAGGGGUUUCCUUGAACCCGCCGGGUACGAGGUCUGAAGGAACACUAACUCACCCCAAAUAUGCCUAGCAUUGUGGGUUACACAAAUGCUAUCGGCCAAUAUACGAUUAAUACUAAACCCGGUAAAAUAACACAAGGUUUCAAGUAAUAAUCACAACACAAUCAACCACAUUCCAGAAUCUAGCAUAAAGACUAAUUCCAGAAUACCUAACUAUCCACAACUUAGCGAUAUCAUCUAAGCAUUCUGCAUUCGCUAACUAACCAAUCAACCUAACCAUUAGCAUGCUACUACGGUUCUCAAGCAAUAACUAAGCAUGCUAUCAACUUAAUCAACAUAACCUCAAUUAUUAACUACUCAAACCGUUACUCAGUUAGACCUGGCCUCCUGCCAUGAUCCAACUUCCAAGUAACGGGACCCUGCAUAAAAACAACUCAGCAAUCAAUUGAUUAUAACUCACAGUUUUUGGUUGACCGUGGCCUUGACCCCAAACCCGACUUCUGUGAUCCGAACCCUUUCCGACCUUCACAAGUAGACCCACGUCUGGACUGAUCUUCACUUGAACUGGUCUCCACUAGAACUGAUCUCUCUUCACUUGAACAGAAUCUUCUCCAAGUGCUGACUCAAAAUCGGCAGAGUAACUGUUCUCGAAAACUGCCUAAAUCGCUCGAAAACUAUCGAAACUCGAUCUUUCUUUCUUUGCUUUCUCUCUCACGUUUUUCUCUGAGUUUCAGGUGUGCUGGAUGGUUUAAAUGAGCUGGGGUCGUGGGGUUUAUAUAGGAUGCAGCAACCAAUCAGAACAAGCCGUGUGGCAGCCCGUGUGUCGCCUCGCAUGGCUCCGGACGCAUGCGUCGCGGCACCUCGUGCUCCACAUGUCUGAUGGCAUGACCAGGACAUCAUGCAGAGUGACACCAUGCCCUCCAGAUGUCUGAUCCACGGCCUGACCUCAUCCAGAUUGACACUCAGCGCACACAUGUCGCUCAGCAUGCUCCGAUCGCAGGUUUCGCGGCACCUCGUGCUUCUGGGUGUCAAUCAGCAUGCUGUGCUCUCCUGGGCUUCAACACCUCCUGCUUCCCUUGCCACAUACCAUGCCAGGCAGGUUACAUCACGUCCUUAUCUCAUAGAUAAGGCCAGCUCGAGCUUCUCGGUCCAUUCGACUGAUUUCGACCCUUCCGAUGAAUUUUCGUCCCGCGAUCAAUCCCGAAUAUUUUUCUACGCCCGUUCUGAUGAGAUGAAUAUUUUUAAUAAACUCCAAGUGAAUCCUGACCUUGAUGGAAAAUAUUUCUCGAGCCUCCGGCUUCCUCGAAAAAUCGAUAAUACCAAAAUUAGGGUUUUCGCCCAACUUCGGGUUUUCCCGUCGUGCUUCAAUCCCGUCGUGCUUGCUUCCCGUCCUGCUUAAUUCCCGUCCUGCUUCCGACUUAUAAUGUCUUCAGAAUAAUAUUUUACUGAUACGAAGAUAUUCUGAGAAAACUUCGCGAUGAAGAAACGUCAAUCUUCAAACGUCGAGCUUCUAAACCGUCGUGCUUCAAAAAUGUGAUUCUUCCAAAACUGCCGUCUGAUCAAUCUAACACUUUUCUAACCAUGGUCCAGCAGCUUAUGGUUCACCCAUGAUCAAUUCUUCGACCAUCCAUUGCCCGCGGUACGACCACUAAAUAAUAAUACCUUUUUUUUUUUUUUUUUUUUUUUUUUUUUAACGGGUUUCUACACUUCCCGUGGACUGUUUGGGUGAUUUUGGCCCACGUGGGUUGUCUGUUCAGUACACACAGGACGUCCG
rnacentral:lncRNA from 1 species